GACGAACGCUGGCGGCGUGCCUAAUACAUGCAAGUAGAACGCUGAAGAGAGGAGCUUGCUCUUCUUGGAUGAGUUGCGAACGGGUGAGUAACGCGUAGGUAACCUGCCUUGUAGCGGGGGAUAACUAUUGGAAACGAUAGCUAAUACCGCAUAACAAUGGAUGACACAUGUCAUUUAUUUGAAAGGGGCAAUUGCUCCACUACAAGAUGGACCUGCGUUGUAUUAGCUAGUAGGUGAGGUAAAGGCUCACCUAGGCGACGAUACAUAGCCGACCUGAGAGGGUGCUCGGCCCCACUGGGACUGGGACACGGCCCCGACUCCUACGGGAGGCAGCCGUAGGGAAUCUUCGGCAAUGGGGGCAACCCUGACCGAGCAACGCCGCGGGAGUGAAGAAGGUUUUCGGAUCGUAAAGCUCUGUUGUAAGUCAAGAACGGGUGUGAGAGUGGAAAGUUCACACUGUGACGGUAGCUUACCAGAAAGGGACGGCUAACUACGUG
rnacentral:rRNA from 1 species